AGGAUGUAGUCAAAGAACAGCAAGUAGAGGAGUCAUCUCUCAACCACAAGGAUGAAGGCUUUACCAGAGCUGGUGGAGGAAUGCCAAGCUACUGUCACAAUUCACUGACCACUGGACCCUCGGACCAAAGCUGAUGGAAGAUUAGAGAAACUUGGGGUGGAACCCAGCCCCAUACCCACUGAACCAUGCUCCCUCCAUGCCUUGGCAAAAUUGGUCACUGUGACUGUUGGCUCCAAAUUUACGGCUGUGCAUAGCGGGAAGGAGAAUCCAAGCUUUCUCGUUCAGAAGCUCCAGAACCUCUGAUUGCCCCAGCUGGUAACUGCUUUCCCUGAACCAUGCCCUGUGACCAAAGGAACACAAACUUCUGUGGACCAAGGUCAGAGGCCCACUCCUGUGUGGGAGAGUAUUAGCUUCAACUGAACUAAAUGGAAGAGGGUCCCCAGAGGAAAGAAAGAUUUUUAUCACCAAAAUAAGGAGAAGUGUUCCGGAAAGUCUAAAGCAACAGAAACCCAAAUAGACUUUAUUCCAAGAAGUUAAAAUAUCUCUUAGCUCUUUUACGUUUGCUCAAGAACUGGGGUAAAUAAAACCAGGCCUGCAAGCUCAGGAGUGAGAACCAGUGUGGCAUUGAAUCUGGACCUUAGUGUGGGAAUCUGGGAUCUGGAAAGGCAAGAGAAGCAAAGUAGGGACAGCUGUUGAUUCCAACUCAGCCUGGCCAAGUCCCUUGCUCUUCGUGGGCCUCCUGAACAGAUUGGCCUCACUCACUGUCCUUCACACUGAGCCCCUAAGCCCACCGAAGCUUCAUUAUUGCCCCAGGAUCAAACCUCAGCAUAAGGUAUGAAAACCCUAUCUCCAUGCUGCUCUUUUCAAAUGUGCCCAGAUACAAACAUGUUAGCAGUUGAAAAGCAGCUCCUGGCAAACAUUAACGUAGGAACCAUUAAGGUAGCUUGGGAAUAAAGGCAACAGAGAGCUGAGAGAUGGAAACAGGCUUCUGGCUACAUCAUUCGAGGCCUGAUUCCCAUCCCACCUGCAGACAGCACCUUCCAUUACAAAAGCUAUCCAGUUCCCCUUUCUGCGUACAUCAAAUUGGGUUGAAUUUUCUAUCACUUACAACCAAAAGAACCCUAAGCAAAAGAAACAGGGAGUGCCUUUCCUGAGCACUAUCUUGAGUAAUAUGAUGAACAUUUGUGGUUUAGUGAGAACACUCAACAGAUUAGAAAUAUCUGUCCUUGGUGUGAGUCCUGGUUGGGACAAGGAAUGUUGGCACUGAUGUCACAUACUUGAGGAAAUAAAUAAAUCCAAAUCUAUAUGGCGCUAAAUAUC